rnacentral:rRNA from 1 species
AAAAGAAACUAACAAGGAUUCCCCUAGUAACUGCGAGUGAAGCGGGAAAAGCUCAAAUUUAAAAUCUGGCGGUCUUCGGCCGUCCGAGUUGUAGUCUGGAGAAGUGCUUUCCGCGCUGGACCGUGUAUAAGUCUCUUGGAACAGAGCGUCAUAGAGGGUGAGAAUCCCGUCUUUGACACGGACUACCAGUGCUUUGUGAUGCGCUCUCAAAGAGUCGAGUUGUUUGGGAAUGCAGCUCAAAAUGGGUGGUGAAUUCCAUCUAAAGCUAAAUAUUGGCGAGAGACCGAUAGCGAACAAGUACCGUGAGGGAAAGAUGAAAAGCACUUUGGAAAGAGAGUUAAACAGUACGUGAAAUUGCUGAAAGGGAAACGCUUGAAGUCAGUCGCGUCGUCCGGAACUCAGCCUUGCUUCCGCUUGGUGCACUUUCCGGAUGACGGGUCAGCAUCGAUUUUGACCGUCGGAAAAGGGCUGGAGUAAUGUGGCACCUCCGGGUGUGUUAUAGACUCUGGUCGCAUACGGCGGUUGGGAUCGAGGAACGCAGCGCGCCGCAAGGCAGGGGUUCGCCCACUUUCGCGCUUAGGAUGCUGGCAUAAUGGCUUUAAACGACCCGUCUUGAAACACGGACCAAGGAGUCUAACAUACCUGCGAGUGUUUGGGUGGAAAACCCGAGCGCGUAAUUAAAGUGAAAGUUGAGACCUCUGUCGUGGAGGGCAUCGACGCCCGGACCUGACGUUCUCUGAAGGAUCCGCGGUAGAGCAUGUAUGUUGGGACCCGAAAGAUGGUGAACUAUGCCUGAAUAGGGUGAAGCCAGAGGAAACUCUGGUGGAGGCUCGUAGCGAUUCUGACGUGCAAAUCGAUCGUCAAAUUUGGGUAUAGGGGCGAAAGACUAAUCGAACCAUCUAGUAGCU